rnacentral:rRNA from 1 species
AAACGCUUGGAGUCAGUCGCUUCGUCGAGGAUUCAGCCGGGCUUCUGUUCGGUGUACUUCCACGGUGAGGGGUCAGCAUCGAUUUCAGUUGCGGGAGAACGGCGUGAGGAAUGUGGCACCUCCGGGUGUGUUAUAGCCUCGCGUCACGACCGUGGCCGGGAUCGAGGACCGCAGCGCGCCCGCAAGGGUCGAGGCUUGCCUUCGAAACGCGCUUAGGAUGCUGGCGUAAUGGCUCUAAGCGA